rnacentral:rRNA from 1 species
CAGCCGCCGCGGGAAUACGAAGGGUGCAAGCGUUAAUCGGAAUUACUGGGCGUAAAGCGUGCGUAGGCGGUGAGUUAAGUCUGCUGUGAAAUCCCCGGGCUCAACCUGGGAAUGGCAGUGGAUACUGGCUCGCUAGAGUGUGUCAGAGGAUGGUGGAGUUCCCGGUGUAGCGGUGAAAUGCGUAGAGACCGGGAGGAACAUCAGUGGCGAAGGCGGCCAUCUGGGACAACACUGACGCUGAGGCACGAAAGCGUGGGGAGCAAACAGGAUUAGAUACCCGCGUAGUCCCUGUCUCUUAUAC